UUGGUCUCAAUCGUGGGGACAUCAUUGGGAAUGGAGGGAAAUCAGUGACUGUAUGGUCGUUGCUUUUUAAGUUUCCAACUGGCGUUCCAGGCAAGCCGUGCCUGAGCCGGUGUCUGCCGUGAGAUCUUCAGAGCACGGUUCCUGGGAAGGUAGAACCAUUAGCUUCUCCCUGAAUAACUGGGAGAUGAAACAGGAAGCUCUAUGACACACUUGAUCGAAAAUGACACAGACGUAGAAAAAUCAGGACUCCAGCACCUCUACCUGCUGUCGGCUGCUGGAAGGCAGGUGACAGCUUUGCCCUGGGACCUGAUUCUAGCUGCCGUGGACUCCAAGGGCCUCCGCAUUCGCUGAUGAUGUGUCUGCGAUAUUGAGGUCGUGGUCUAGUCUGGUCACAAAGCCCUCCUGUGAGAAGUGCCCUCCCUACACCUGGAGGAGAGGAACAGCCUCGUCUCCGAAGACAGAGACACCAAGAAGAAUCCUAACAAACGGGCCUGGCUGAGUCUCCUCCAGUUUACCACGAUCACCUCACGCUCCUUGACCUCUCCUCUUCCUCCACGACUGUGCUCUCUUCAUCCACCCCAGCAUAAAAUACGCAGGUCCAACUGGUUCUUGGGGGUCUUCAUUUCCUCACGAAGGCUCCCAUGUCAGAUGGGCAGUAUGAGGAGGAGGAGGGGAAAGGACUGGCCUGAGGUCUGCAGCCCCCCAGCAUCUCUCUGAUCCUUAUGAAAUGGGUCCUCACAUGGACACUGUCAGGCUGGUACAAUGAUAAACUCUGGAAAUAAAGCAAGAGGCAACCAAAGGAAAACUCCGAAAGCUGGGGAGAGAAAGGGGAACUAGUUAGGGAUCCUAGGGCUGGAGGAACAACAUGGCAGCAGGGUGUCUCCCUGCCCCUGCAUCCAACAGAAGGUGACCUAGGCCUGGCACUUCCUGAUGCCCAACCUGGCACUAGAAGACAGCCAAUGUAGGUUCAUUCCUGCCCCUUCCUGAUGGGCCAGAGAUUCUCCUCCCUCACUGACAGACAGCUGGGGUGAUCGGGUGGUGCCAAGAAAGGGAAUUACACCGUACAAAGCAGCCCAACCUUGGAAGAAGCGCUCUUGGGCUCCGUGGAUCUGAGAUUCCCUUCCUUCACGUAGAGGCACCAGGAGGAGCAGCCUGAGGAAUUUUCCUCAGCCCCCUCAGCUAGCAGCAGGAAGGACCAUGGGAGCCCCAGGAGACUGGAAUAGUAUGAAAAAGGCUCUGAAACGAAAUUGUCAUUGGACCAACAGCCCACUAAACUAGGCCAGGAUCUGCCUGCUAAACAUAAACAGGGUGUGGGCCUGCUUAAAAAAUUAAAAAUAUUCAAAUAGGACUCAGGGUUUCCUAACAUAAAAGGCAAGAUGUCCAGAUACACUUGAAAAAUGCACUUCAUUCUAAGAACCAGGAAAACAACUUAAGUGAGAAAAUACAAGCAGCUGACACUAACGCUGAGAUGAAUGAGGUGGUGGAAGCACCUGACAAAGACUUUAAAGCCGCCAUCAUCAGAAUGCUUCAGAAAGCAAUCACAAAUUCCCCUGAAACAAAUGAAAGAAUAGAAAAAUCUCAGCAAAGAACUAGAAUAGAAAUAAAUAGGAAAGAAAUAGAAAUAGAAGUUAUAAAAAAAGAACCAAAUGGAAGUUAUAGAAGUGAAAAUAGAAAAACAGAAAUAAAAAACUCACAAGAUGGCCUCAGUAGUAGAAUGGAUAUGGUGGAAGGCAGAAUCAGAAACUGAGGAACGCACAAUAGAAAUCACCCAGCCUGAAUAACAGGCAGAAGAUAGACUGAAAAACUUCUCUCCUGUGAGUGAUGACUUUGAUUCACAAAUUGGCAGCAUCAACCACACUGCAGAGGGGUUGUUUAAUCAACUUAAGAGGACUAAUUAAAUAGUGACAAAUAAUUGGAAAAUUAAAAAAUUUAAAUAACAUCAUUUGCAAUAGUACCAAAAAAUACAGAGAGUGCAUGGGUCACAGAGGGUUUUUAGGGCAGUGAAAACACUCUGUAUGAUACUAUAGUGGUGGAUACACGUCAUCAUACAUUUGUGCAAACCCAUAGCAUAUACAAGACUGAGAGUGAAGGCUGAUGUUAACUAUGGACUUUGGGAAAUAAUCAUGUGUCGAUAUGGGUUCAUCUCUUGUAACAAAGGUACCACUCUGG